rnacentral:pre_miRNA from 1 species
CACACUUAGCUGUAUGGAGUUGGAACGUUUGCCUACGCUUGCCGCUAGGGGCGCUGUUCCAACUGCAUACAAAUUUGAGUUA